rnacentral:tRNA from 1 species
CGCGGGGUGGAGCAGCCCGGUAGCUCGUCAGCUCAUAACCUGAAGGCCGCAGGUUCAAAUCCUGCCCCCGCAACCA